rnacentral:lncRNA from 1 species
GAGUAUUCCCAGUGAAGCUGAAAUAUACAGCACAGUGCAGCUUUGGUUCAUAUUCAGUCAUCUCAGGAGAACUUCAGAAGAGCUUGACUAGGCCAAAUAUUGAAGUUAAGUUUUCAAAUAAUGGAACUUUUUAAGAUGCCUUUUAAAGGGGAGGGGCAAGUUUUGGCAAUUAGUUGGCAGUGGCCUGUUUUGGUUGGGGUUGGGUGGGUUGGGUUUAGGUAAUUGUUUAGUUUAUGAUUUCAGAUAACUCAUGCCAGAGAACUUAAAUACUUAGGAUGGAAAAACUAAAGAAAUCUCACCUCCCAAGUUGGCAAGUAACUCCUGAUCCUCUAGUUUCUUGUUUUACCCCAAUUUUUGAACUGGACAGCUGGGAACUUCAAAGAUUCACUGGAUUUAAAGUGUAGGGCUUGGGAAAGGAAAGUGUUGGAUUGGGGGUUGGUCUAGCCCACUGGGUUGACCAAGAUAAAAACUUGGGGAAUUGUUUAAACACUAAAGUUGUUUGGAUAUGGUAGUGUGUGGUUCUCUUUUGGAAUUUUUUUCAGGUGAUUUAAUAAAACUUAAUACUACUAUAGGAGCUUCAGAGCAAAGGAAGUGGCUUAAUGAUCCUGAAGGGAUUUCUUCUGAUGGUAGCUUUUAUAUUAUCAAACUUUUUUCAGAUAACAUCUUCUGAGUCAUACCCAGCCUGGCAAUAUGAUGGCCUAGAUGGAGAGGGGAACAGCUCCUUGACAGGUUUCUCUAUCAGAAGAGUUGCUUCAUAUCAUCUGGGAGCAGAAAACAGCAGGCAGCUGUUCACAGAUAAGUUUAACUUGCAUCUGCAGUAUUGCAUGUUAGGGAUAAGUGCUAUGUUUAAUAAGAGCUGUGGAGGUCCUAGGUCCCUUACUCAAGGGAUCUCAGGAUUUUGAGGAAUUUUCCCAUCCAGCCUUUUAAAAUGAGACAGGCCUUAUGCCUGUGGGCUUCCAUGAUGGGCUAACUCACUUCACUCGAGGCAAGUAAUUCCUUAAAGCCUCUUGAGAUUAAUACCUUAAUAAUCAAGGAUAAUGUUGAUAAAAUAAAAAUUUGUUUAGCAUUGAUUCUUGAAAACCCUAUGAAAAGAUAGCAUAAUGUGCUGUUAACCAGAAUCAGAUAUGUUAACCUUGCUAAAAUUUAAAUGUUAUGUGUAUUGUGCAGAAAACCGUAAAAUCACUCAAAAUAAAAUACUUUAUUUAGCGAAUGUAUGCUUUUAGAAAGCUGUCUCCUUAUUUAAAUAAAAUAUUGUUUGUCUGUAGUUAGUGUUGGGCAAUCUUGGGGGGAUUCUUCUCAUCUUUCAGAGACUUUGUCUGCGAACACUCUGUAAUGGACAAGAUCAGGAAUUGAGCUGAAGAACGAAUUUAACUUAAGGCAGGAAAGACAAAUUUUAUCCUUCGUAAAAUUGAUGACCAUUUAAUAAUUCCAGGCACAUGGCCAUAGAGACCCUCUAAAUAAAUAAGGAAUAAAUACUUAUUAGGCAGGUGGGAGAUUAUGAUCAGAAGAACAGGUAACUACACCUACGCAUUUUUCAGAAAGUCAGGAGUCGAAAUUGACAGUACUGAAGUAUAAUGCGGUCCACAUUUCCAAAGUUUGCAUGUUAAAUUGAAAUGCUUACCAUCUCAUCUAGUGUUAGCCAAUGCUUUACACUUAUUAGCCUUUUAUAUAGACACUUGGUGGGGGGCAUGUGGGUUUUUUAAAGAACUUUCCUUUGCAGAGGCUUCGUUUCAUCCUUCAUGAGGCUGUUCAGGAUUUUGACUUGCAUAUAAACGCUUGGCUCUGCCUUCUGUUCUCCUAGUGGGUGUGUGAGACCUUGCAGUGAGUUUUCAGCAUACUCAAGUAAAAA